rnacentral:lncRNA from 1 species
AACUUGGUGUUUAAUGGCCAAGGUUCUCUCCUUGUUUGAUAUAACAUGAAACAGGGCCAGCACCAUCUUUAUGGCUUGCUUCAAAGGUCUUAUUUCACUUUUAUCUGUAUCCAACACCUAAAUUUCUAAUCAGGAAGCAUGUUUGUUUUACUUGUCGCUGCAUGUUGACAUCCAUCCUGUACGUCUCUUUAUCAAGACCAUCUCUAGCUGUUGCUAGAUCACCUUAUUCAUUGCCGAACAUUCUGAUCCAUACAACAUGAGGGUCCAGUCUAAUGAUCAAGGUUGUCAGACUAGCUACUCUGGUCUUAGGCCGUGAAACCUUUGGCCUACAUAGUUUGUACAUCUUUAUUUUGAUAUGCUUGUGCUCUCUGUUUAUUGUCUAACAUUAAAUCUGUACUGUGAAGCACUAGAGUGAUGACUUUAUCUGUCUAGGAGAUACUUGACAGUAACCUCUCAAAGGCUUAAGUAGGAUACUAAAUUAAAAAUUUACUGGUAAUUUAUUAAAUGUUAAUACAAAUAUUACAACAUAAACCUCACUUCUAGAUAGAUUUAAAUAAUUACAAACAUAUAUUGAGUUNNNNNNNNNNNNNNNNNNNNAACAUAAACCUCACUUCUAGAUAGAUUUAAAUAAUUACUAAACAUAUAUUGAGUUUGUGCUCUCUGUUUAUUGUCUAACAUUAAAUCUGUACUGUGAAGCGCUAGAGUGAUGAUUUUAUCUGUCUAGGAGAUACUUGACAGUAACCUCUCAAAGGCCUAAGUAGGAUACUAAAUUAAAAAUUUACUGGUAAUUUAUUGAAUAUUAAUACAGAUAUUACAACUUAAACCUCACUUCUAGAUAGAUUUAAAUAUUUCCAAACAUAUAUUGAGUUAUAUUCUCUAGGCUGUGGGAAGCAUAUCUAUCAAUAAAGGAGAAUAUAUUUGUAGUUUUUUCUGAAAAACAACAAACAAUACAUAAAGAAUAAAUGUGACAACUAGAGCACCAAGCAGUUAUUAAGUACCUAGACACCUUCCUAGAUAUUAGCUUGGGAAGUCAAUUUGUUGCCCUGCCUUUGACAGAACACUAAUCUUUAUCUAGGAUUUUCUCAGUAUGGUUGCUCUUGGGUGGGAAGAAAGGCAUCAAACCUAAUUCAUGUUCAUCGUUG